AAUUUAUAAUACAUGGCUGAACAGUGGAGAUGUGUAACAAGUGGCGGAU
rnacentral:guide_RNA from 1 species